UACGGGGGAUGCAAGCGUUAUCCGGAUUUAUUGGGCGUAAAGCGCCUGUAGGUUGUUUAAUAAGUCUGUUGUUAAAGACUAGGGCUUAACCCUAGGAAAGCAAUGGAAACUACUAGACUUGAGUAUGAUAGGGGUAGAGGGAAUUUCUAGUGUAGCGGUGAAAUGCGUAGAUAUUAGAAAGAACACCGGUGGCGAAGGCGCUCUACUGGAUCAUUACUGACGCUCAGAGGCGAAAGCUAGGGUAGCAAAAGGGAUUAGAUACCCCUGUAGUCCUAGCCGUAAACGAUGGAUACUACAUGUUGCGUUUUUAAUGCAGUAUGGUAGCUAACGCGUUAAGUAUCCCGCCUGGGGAGUACGGUCGCAAGGCUG
rnacentral:rRNA from 1 species